rnacentral:rRNA from 1 species
GUCGCAACAAGGUUUCCGUAGGUGAACCUGCGGAAGGAUCAUUG